GGUGACUCAGUGGUAGAGUGCUUGCCUUGCAUGCAUGAGACCCUGGGUUCAAUUCCUCAGCACCA
rfam:Dipodomys ordii contig_70966, whole genome shotgun sequence.